rnacentral:rRNA from 1 species
AGUGAACGCUGGCGGUAGGCCUAACACAUGCAAGUCGAACGGCAGCACAGUAAGAGCUUGCUCUUACGGGUGGCGAGUGGCGGACGGGUGCGGAAUACAUCGGAAUCUACUUUUUCGUGGGGGAUAACGUGGGGAAACUUACGCUAAUACCGCAUACGACCUACGGGUGAAAGCAGGGGAUCUUCGGACCUUGCGCGAUUGAAUGAGCCGAUGUCGGAUUAGCUAGUUGGCGGGGUAAAGGCCCACCAAGGCGACGAUCCGUAGCUGGUCUGAGAGGAUGAUCAGCCACACUGGAACUGAGACACGGUCCAGACUCCUACGGGAGGCAGCAGUGGGGAAUAUUGGACAAUGGGCGCAAGCCUGAUCCAGCCAUGCCGCGUGGGUGAAGAAGGCCUUCGGGUUGUAAAGCCCUUUUGUUGGGAAAGAAAAGCAGCAGGUUAAUACCCCGCUGUUCUGACGGUACCCAAAGAAUAAGCACCGGCUAACUUCGUG